rnacentral:tRNA from 2 species
UUGGGCUAUAGCCAAGUGGUAAGGCAACGGACUUUGACUCCGUCAUUCGUUGGUUCGAAUCCAGCUAGCCCAGU